rnacentral:lncRNA from 1 species
GGAGAUCAUGGUCGCUCUAUUUAAUUCCUCAAACACCAGUCCCCCAGUUUCUAGUGUUGAGAGUAAAACAAAUCAAUACUGGAAACUAUAAAGUUUAUAAUUUUGGCAAACCUAUGCCUUAGGAAUAUUUUUUACGAAUUUUGCCCAAUUGUCCUCACACGACUGAGCAGGUUUGGGCAAAUCUUUACUUUGGCAAAUUUUGCAAGAUAUGGCUGCUGGUCCUUCAAACGACCGAGCAGGAGUUGGCCCAUGUUUGCCUUAGUAAAAUUUUAUAGAAUUCGCCUGCUGGUCCUUUAGGCGACCGAACAGGAAUAGGCACAUGUUUGCUUUAAAAAAAUUUAGUAGACUUUAGCUGCUGGUCCUUUAGACGACCGGGCAUAAAUAGGCACAUGUUUGCCUUAGUAAAAUUUAAUAGACUUUAGCUGCUGGUCCUU